rnacentral:lncRNA from 1 species
GGUCUUCAUAUUGUGUUCUUUCUUUUUCAAAGAGAAGUGACAUUCAUAAUAGAGAUAACAUCAUUGUGUAAAGAAUGGCGUUAUUUUAUUCAUUUGUGCUUUUCAGAGUACAAUAUUUUUCUUUACAAAUAUUUCAAGGGAAAUACCUCUUCAAGUGCUGGAUAUUCCAGGCAUGGGGCUCAGGGUUUCCCUGCAUAUCUUCAAUUCGGUAUACUCCUGGCCUGACCACUUUUGCUAUCCUGAAUGGGCCCUCCCAGGUCGGUAUCAACUUGCCUACUGCCGCUCUUUUUCUUGUAGCUUCCAAGUUUCUUAGGGCUAGGUCGCCUACCUUUAGACUUCUUUCCCUGACCCUUUGGUUAUAAUAACGGGCUGCCCGUUGUUGAUAAGCAGCAGUUCAAACUUGAGCUUCCUCCCUAAUUUCUUCGAGAGCGUCCAAGUUGUUCCUUAAUUUGUCGUCGUUAGUGUUCUCGUUAACAAAUUGGACUCGAUGAGUGGGGAUUUGCAGCUCGGCUGGGACUACGGCCUCUGUGCCGUAAGCAAGUGCAAAGGGCGUUUCUUUAGUGGACGCUCUAGGGGUAGUUCGGAGUGCCCACAGGAUACUAUUGAGUUCUUC